ANGGCAGCCACUCGCGAUACUAGCAAAUCCCAUAAACCGUGGCUCAGUUCAGAUCGUAGGCUGCAACUCGCCUACGUGAAGUAGGAAUCGCUAGUAAUCGCAGGUCAGCAUACUGCGGUGAAUACGUUCCCGGGCCUUGUACACACCGCCCGUCACACCAUGGAAGUUGGCCAUGCCCGAAGUCGUUACUCCAACCCUUGUGGAGGAGGACGCCGAAGGUGGGGCUAAUGACUGGGGUGAAGUCGUAACAAGGUAGCCGUACCGGAAGGUGCGGCUGGAUCACCUCCUAACAGGGAGACACCAAAAUGUAAAUAUUAAUUUUGUCACCUUAGGUCGAUCGGUAUCUCAGGUUCUUAAUUUUAAGAAUUUCAGUUCCUAAGUUUUUUCUAGGUCACACCCAUCACUUUUUCCUGGGCCAUUAGCUCAGGUGGUUAGAGCGCACCCCUGAUAAGGGUGAGGUCCCUGGUUCAAGUCCAGGAUGGCCCAUAUCUCUAUGUUGGGGGUAUAGCUCAGUUGGUAGAGCGCCUGCUUUGCAAGCAGGAUGUCAGCGGUUCGAGUCCGCUUACCUCCACUGAAUACCGCCUUUUAACAUAUUGCUAAAUAGGGAAUUGUUUUGAAAUGUGUAAUUAACCUACUCUGAGCGAAUCUAGCUUCCUAUUUUUCAUUUAAUAAAUAAGAUGCUGGACUCAUUGAAUUUUUAAUUCAUUGUUUUCAGAGAACCUUGACAACUGCAUAGAUUAUUUUUGAAGACAAUAAGCAUCUUUAAGAUGCAGAUUUAUUAUUUGUGCUAAUGCAUUAAAUAACAAUUCUAUUAAGCUGAUGCUUCAAUUAUUGAAGUUAUUGGUCAAGCUACAAAGGGCUCACGGAGGAUACCUAGGCACACAGAGGCGAUGAAGGACGUGGUUACCUGCGAUAAGUCUCGGGGAGUUGGAAGCACACUUUGAUCCGGGAAUUUCCGAAUGGGGCAACCCCUUGAACGACCAACUGAAUAUAUAGGUUGGUGCGAGCUAACCCAGCGAACUGAAACAUCUUA
rnacentral:misc_RNA from 1 species